UCCGUAGGCGGUGCGGCAAGUCGAUAGUGAAAUCCCUGGGCUUAACCCAGGGGCUGCUAACGAAACUGCCGUGCUCGAGUGUGAGAGAGGCGAGUGGAAUUACGGGUGUAGCGGUGAAAUGCGUAGAUAUCCGUAGGAACAUCCGAGGCGAAAGCGGCUCGCUGGAUCACAACUGACGCUGAGGGACGAAAGCUAGGGGAGCAAACAGGAUUAGAUACCCUGGUAGUCCUAGCCCUAAACCAUCAGGACUUGGGGUUUGCCCUGUACGGGGCAAGUCCCGUAGCUAACGCGUUAAGUCCUGCGCCUGGGGAGUACGGUCGCAAGGCUGAA
rnacentral:rRNA from 1 species